rnacentral:rRNA from 1 species
CCUACGGGAGGCAGCAGUGGGGAAUAUUGGGCAAUGGGCGCAAGCCUGACCCAGCAACGCCGCGUGAAGGAAGAAGGCCCUCGGGUGGUAAACUUCUUUUAUUCGGGACGAAACAAAUGACGGUACCGAAUGAAUAAGCCACGGCUAACACCGUGCCAGCAGCCGCGGUAAUAAGUAGGUGGCAAGCGUUAUACGGAUUGACGGGGGGGAAAGGGCGUGUAGGCGGGAGAGCAAGUCAGACGUGAAAUUCCAGUGCUCAACCCUGGAACUUCGUUUGAAACUGUUCUUCUUGAGUGAUGUAGAGGCAGGCGGAAUUCCGUGUGGAGCGGUGAUAUGCGUAGAUAUACGGAGGAACACCAGUGGCGAAGGCGGCCUGCUGGACAUUAACUGCCGCUGAGGCGCGAAAGCGUGGGGAGCAAACAGGAUUAGAUACCCCUGUAGUC